rnacentral:rRNA from 1 species
AGCAGCCGCGGUAAUUCCAGCUCCAAUAGCGUAUAUUAAAGUUGUUGCAGUUAAAAAGCUCGUAGUUGAAUUUCGGGACUAAUAUGUCGGUCGUGCCUCGGUACGCACUGGCUUAUUGGUUUCUCCUUUCUGAAGAACCAUGAUGUCAUUUAUUUGGUGUCGUGGGGAAUCAGGACUGUUACUUUGAAAAAAUUAGAGUGUUUAAAGCAGGCUCACGCUUGAAUACAUUAGCAUGGAAUAAUGAAAUAGGACGUUUGAUUCUAUUUUGUCGGUUUCUAGGAUCGACGUAAUGAUUAAUAGGGAUAGUUGGGGGCAUUAGUAUUCAAUUGUCAGAGGUGAAAUUCUUGGAUUUAUUGAAGACUAACUACUGCGAAAGCAUUUGCCAAGGAUGUUUUCAUUAAUCAAGAACGAAAGUUAGGGGAUCGAAGACGAUCAGAUACCGUCGUAGUCUUAACCAUAAACUAUGCCGACUAGGGAUCGGAUGAUGUUAAUUUUUAAUGACUCAUUCGGCGCCUUAACC